UACAGAGGGUGCAAACGUUGCUCGGAAUCAUUGGGCGUAAAGCACACGUAGGCGGCCUAGCAAGUAGGGAGUGAAAGCCCUCGGCUUAACCGAGGAAGUGCUUUCUAAACUACUAGGCUUGAAUACUGGAGAGGGUCGCGGAAUUCCCGGUGUAGAGGUGAAAUUCGUAGAUAUUCGGAAGAACACCAGUGGCGAAGGCGGCUCACUGGACCGGUAUUGACGCUGAGGUGCGAAAGCGUGGGGAGCAAACAGG
rnacentral:rRNA from 1 species